AGGAUGAACGCUGGCGGUCUGCUUAACACAUGCAAGUCGAACGGAGUACCUCGGUACUUAGUGGCGGACGGGUGAGUAACGCGUGAGAAUCUGCCCUUAGGUCGGGGACAACCAUUGGAAACGAUGGCUAAUACCGGAUAAGCCGAGAGGUAAAAGAUUAAUUGCCUAGGGAAGAGCUCGCGUCUGAUUAGCUAGUUGGUGAGGUAAAGGCUCACCAAGGCAUCGAUCAGUAGCUGGUCUGAGAGGAUGAUCAGCCACACUGGGACUGAGACACGGCCCAGACUCCUACGGGAGGCAGCAGUGGGGAAUUUCCGCAAUGGGCGAAAGCCUGACGGAGCAAGACCGCGUGAGGGAGGAAGGCUCGUUGGGUUGUAAACCUCUUUUCGUGGGAAGAACAAAUGACGGUACCAAGGAAUCAGCAUCGGCUAACUCCGUGCCAGCAGCCGC
rnacentral:rRNA from 1 species